UUUUUAUGCCGUUCCCUUGUGAAACUCCUCCUGCUGUUUAGUGGGCCUGUGAGCAAAGGAAGACGCUAAACUCAUAAUUAGGCGCAUAUUUCCCGGAUUUUGCUUGGAAUGACCGUCCCGUUUUCCACCUAGCCAAAUCCUUCACGCCUGGAUUAAUUGCCACCUCUUCCACGAGGCUUUUCCUGUAAUGAAGACUGGAGCCAGGCAGGCUGCCUGGAUUCAGAUCCCUUUCCUCCUACUUAGUAGCUGCGUGGAUUUGGACAAAUUUACUUGGCCGUCCCCUGCCUUGUAUUAGCCAUCUGUAAGAUUCUUACAAUAACCUCAAUCACUAAAACAGAACAGUGCACAGCACACAGUGAGGACUGCAUUUUCAUUCAGGUGUAUAAAACAGUCACGCUCCUUCUUCCCUGAAGAUAAUGAACAGAUAAAGACCCCGAAAAAAGCAGUUGUGCUCUAAGGAACGGAACAAAGUUCUGUAGGAUCAUGCAACAGAGGAAACUGACCUCGCCUGGGAACAAUUGGAAAGACUUUCUUGAAGAAAUGACAUAAGCUGAGCUCUGAAGAAAGAGUAGGAGUUAGUAAGGCCCGCUGUGUGACCUGGGAAAAGUUACUCUACCUCCCUGAGGCUAUUUCUACCCUGUGAAAUGAAGAUACCUACCUGUGGGGUCAUUGUGAAGAUACAACACGAUAAAGUGCUUGCACGCUGUGCGUAGGUCACCAUGACUGAUAAAGAAAACAAUAUGUGAGGUAAUACAACCGAUACGCAUUGAGUGCUUACCAUGUGUAUGACUCAGUUCUGAAAGCUUGAAGUGCAAAAAGUCAUGUCAUUCCACAAGAACCCUAUGAGGCAGGUGCUAUUAUUAUUCCUGUUUUGCAAAUGAGGAAAUUUAAUGAGUGGUGUUUAAAGACAUGUCAAAGUGUCAUAGCUGGUAAGUGCCAGAGUCAGGAUUAAAAUGGAGGCGGUCAAACUCCAGAACUUGCGUCCCCAGUCACUGCGCUACAGUGCAAAGAUCAGGUACCAGGUUCCGAUCAAAGCCGCUAAUGCAUGGAGACCAUUUCACAGAGCUUGGCCCCUGAGAGACACUCGGUGAAAGAUCGAUGUCGUUGUGGUCUUGGUGGCGCUUGGAAUCCGACUGAUUUGAAUCCCAAUUCUAACACUUGCUAGUGACCUAGUGUA